rnacentral:tRNA from 1 species
GCCGGAGUGGCUGAAUCUGGUCAAAGCGCUGAUCUGAUGAGUCAGUGAACACUAACCUGUGUUCUGCGGGUUCAAAUCCCGUCUCCGGCG